rnacentral:rRNA from 1 species
GAUGAACGCUAGCGGCAGGCUUAACACAUGCAAGUCGAGGGGUAUAGUUCUUCGGAGCUAGAGACCGGCGCACGGGUGCGUAACGCGUAUGCAAUCUACCUUUUGCAGAGGGAUAGCCCAGAGAAAUUUGGAUUAAUACCUCAUGGUAUGUGAGAAUGGCAUCAUUUUCACAUUAAAGUCACAACGGCAAAAGAUGAGCAUGCGUCCCAUUAGCUAGUUGGUAAGGUAAUGGCUUACCAAGGCAACGAUGGGUAGGGGUCCUGAGAGGGAGAUCCCCCACACUGGUACUGAGACACGGACCAGACUCCUACGGGAGGCAGCAGUGAGGAAUAUUGGACAAUGGGCGCAAGCCUGAUCCAGCCAUGCCGCGUGCAGGAUGACGGUCCUAUGGAUUGUAAACUGCUUUUGUACGGGAAGAAACACUGGUUCGUGAACCAGCUUGACGGUACUGUAAGAAUAAGGAUCGGCUAACUCCGUGCCAGCAGCCGCCGUAAUAC